CAGUACAUAUACUAAGAUUGGAAUGAUGGAAUGAUACAGAGAAUAUUAGCAUGGCCCCUGCACCAGGAUAAAACGUAAAUACGUGAAGCAUUCCAUGUUUUU